AUCGAACGCUGGCGGCAUGCCUUACACAUGCAAGUCGAACGGCAGCGGGGGAGAAGCUUGCUUUUCCUGCCGGCGAGUGGCGAACGGGUGAGUAAUACAUCGGAACGUGCCCUGUAGUGGGGGAUAACUAGUCGAAAGAUUAGCUAAUACCGCAUACGACCUGAGGGUGAAAGUGGGGGACCGCAAGGCCUCAUGCUAUAGGAGCGGCCGAUGUCUGAUUAGCUAGUUGGUGGGGUAAAGGCCUACCAAGGCGACGAUCAGUAGCUGGUCUGAGAGGACGGUCAGCCACACUGGGACUGAGACAGGGCCCAGACUCCUACGGGAGGCAGCAGUGGGGAAUUUUGGACAAUGGGCGAAAGCCUGAUCCAGCAAUGCCGCGUGUGUGAAGAAGGCCUUCGGGUUGUAGAGCACUUUUGUCCGGAAAGAAAUGGCUCUGGUUAAUACCUGGGGUCGAUGACGGUACCGGAAGAAUAAGGACCGGCUAACUACGUGCCAGCCGCCGCGGUAA
rnacentral:rRNA from 1 species